CCCAGCUUAAAAAAAAAAAAAAAAAUUGUUCGAUUCUGAAUCUAUCCCUGAAUCAUAGUAUUUGAAUUGAAAUUAUCAUUAGGAACAAGAUGUGUUAAUUAAUUGAAUGUUAAGAAUUAAAAUGCGAGGGAGAAAAGUUGACGAUGCAAUAUUGAGCAAAGAUUUGAAAAUUGGUUGCAAUUAAAAUGUAGUGGUGUACUGUGUACAUAUAAUUAACCUAUACUAAUAUUCGACGUAUCUCUUGGCAGGUAAAUUUACUAUUGGACAACUAAUAUAAUAAAAGGAUCAUUGCAAUAAAUUACGUUCUAAUGUUAGUACAAAAACUAUUCGAAUAUUGAGGGAUAAUCUUUUUGGGAACUUUUGAUUUCCGCUACUACCAACAAGUUGAUGAUUUGAACAGUUAAAGGCUAAAAUCUUGUUACAAUAACAGAUUCAAUAAUAGGCUCAAUGACACAGAAGAUACAUGUUAAUGCAUGAUUAGACAUUUAAAAAAAAUAAUAAAUAAAAUAAAACCUAAUCAAAAGCAGACAGCCUACCCAAUCACCCUCUCCCUGUCAAAAGCCCUUGUCCAAGGAACAUUAUCCAUAAAAAUUGAGUUUUGCCAUUCAAACAAGGCCAUGACUGGCCCUGUUUACAGGCCGAAGUGUUGGCAACACCUCGGCCCUUGAUUGUUAUGCUGCGGGCUCUAUGAAAUUGAAGAUUAAGGGCCGAGGGGUUUAAACUCGAAAUUAAUUGAAGAUCAAGGGCCGAGGGAUUUAAACCCAGGAUUUAAUCUCGGAUUUUGUAGCAGGCUUCAUAAAAAUUUGGUAUCCCUUUCAAUAGAAAUUAACAUUUAAUGUGAAGUCAAAAUAGAUAAAAAUAAAAAAUGGGUUUCUUAAACUCAAUGUCACGUGUUUAAUGAAAUUCCUCAUGCACCAAUGAUUUGCGUUUCUAAUACAAUUUUGCCAGGGGAAAAAACACACUCACACACACAAUUAAUAAGUGAUGCAUAUGACUAUAUGAGUUUCUAAUACAAUUUUGCCCAAAAAUAAGUGACAACAUGGUCCACAUCUCCAAAAAGGUUGAUUUAGGCCUUUAAAUCCCUACAAUCUUAAAAGAGAAAACUUGCUUGCACUAUUCAUAAGGCGUCAUGUUUGACCUAAAUCUGGUGUCAUGUGUUUUCAUACCAAUUACUCUCUUUAUUCUUUUAAACACCAUGUUGCAUUCUUGUACCAGAUUUUUUUUUCUUGUGUCAGUCAUUCUCCAUUCUUCUACACCAUCUCCAUGCCUCUUUACUCCAUUAUUCACACAAUCAUCUAUGUUAUUCAAGAUUUCCCUUUUCUUCUCUCUACUUUAGCUCCAUUGUGCAGAGGCAAUACGGCCAAAAAUUUGGCUUCAAUGAGGGAAUUCGAAAUAUGAUAUUAUUAUCAAAUUCAUAAUUGAAUUCUCCUAGGCUUGAAUGUUGAUUAUGUGGGCGUCUAUAUAAUUGGCUCAGGAAUUAGCCUUAAAAUGUGUAGGCCAGACAUGUCGCAAGCUCUUGUAAGUUGUUUUUGUUGGUAUUAACUAAAUGUAAUAUGAAUGGUUAGCACUGCAUUUUGUAUUUGACACUUAAGCAGGGUUUCAACAUACCUUUUAUUUCUUUUAGAAGAAUAGCACGAGCUUCUUCAGGAGUAGAAGAUGUCCACAUGUCAUUCAUGACGGGAGCAAUUAGUGGCAUGGCACCAAUGUUUAGUCUGCACUAAGAAACAAA
rnacentral:lncRNA from 1 species